CUCCACUCUCAGUCUCACCACGACCACCAUCUCAUUUUGUGAUCAUGAUGAAAUCUGAAUUAAGAUAUCCUUUGGGUAAUGAUGAUGCCGUUUAGCAAACCCUGUGUGGUGCUGAGUUUUUCAAAAUUGCAACUCUCUUCUAUUUCUUCUGCCCUGCAUCUGUUAAAAUCAUUGCCAGUAUCAUUUUUGACAGCUUGGAGCUGUAUCUGAACACCUGUUAUUCAAACCCCAAAGAAACUGUCAGAAACGAGAAGCAUCGUUUAAAUAAAUACAGAUGACAACAACAGUGUGGAAAAGAAGCAUAAACAGAAUUUGUUACGCUUUUAUUUUCUAGAAUGCUACAACUGAGAAAUUCCUGCAAGGAAAAGCAGGUCUGGGCAGCCACCACAGGUGCUUCAUUAAUCUGUUGCAACUGACACAGAUUGACGCUUAACGUACUGCCAUGAGUGGAUGAUUACAAUCCCCAUACCCUGAAGGGCAUUUUCAUGUUACUUCUUUAUGAAUAAUCAAGAAUGGAAAAGAUGUAAAGAUUGGACUCUGAAGUAAACAGAAAGCUUACUCAACUCAUACCACUACACUCAUUAGGACAGACAGCGUGAUGCUGAAGAGGAGGUGCCACCAGGGCUGGCAUGCAUGCUGCAGGCUGCUGAGGAGGGCAGGAGUAAAUGGUACUGGUGCCAUGUCUGCUGGCCACGUCUACAUCUCGAGAGGUGGAAGGCAGUGUGGAGCACGGAGCUCAGCAGAAACCUGACCGAGUUUUGCCUGUGGUCUUUUUUUUUAAUAGGUCUGCUUCAGACUUAUACAGAUUUCACUGUAAUUGCUAGUCAUGACAGUCUUCAAAUGCUGAAGGUGAUCAAAGGCAUCAGCUUAAAAAUACAAAGCUGGCAUUACAAGGAAGUGAUUUAACCUCUCUCGGUAGGCAGGUGUGUGUUGGGAGCAGAGAGGGGUUCAUUGCUUCAGGCAUCUAAAUUGCAGCUGUAGUGAAAAGCAGCAAUUUGUCUAAAUCCAUGACAAAAAUC
rnacentral:lncRNA from 1 species